UCACUGCUGCCAUCAUCAUCAUCAUCGGUCUCGUGGGAGUCGGUGUCUGGAAGCUCCGAUCCGGGAAGAGGGAGGGGAAUGGAUACGACCCCGCGCCCACCACAGGAAUCACAGCCUGAGCAAUCCUGGAGCUGGAUCCGCCCCUUCCCUCUCCCUGUGAAAAGGCAGGAGCUGCUGGCAGAGCUCAUCCCGCUGCUCCCACCCACCCCGGCCCCCCUGCGGCUCUUCCCGAUGAAUCAACUUCCUGCUUUUUCC